rnacentral:lncRNA from 1 species
UGCAAGUUUCCUGAGGCAUCCCCAGCCAUGCCUCCUGUACAGCCUGUGGAACUUCAGGACCUGGGAGAGAAAAAAGCUACCAGCAACAUUCAGACUGAGAGAGGCCAAAAUACUAAUUCAUAAUUAGCCUGGUACAUAUGAAGGAUCAAAAAGAACAGGACUGUAUGUCUAACCUCUGACAGGCCCUACCACCAUAGUAGAGACUCAGUAUGUAUACUUAAUGAAGGAAUAAUGAAUACAUCAGCAAGAGAAAUAAGAGUGACCAUAUGUUCCUUAAGAGAAGCAAAGAGCAGCUCCUGUUCCUGCUGGAAUGAGUCUCCAUUCCUUGCAACAGAAGUGUCCUAAGUUAUAGCCAGAGGACGGGGGCACAUUGACAAAACAUAAUAACAAGGUACCAUUCCAGCAAGAACAUCUGAAGAAAGAAGCAGUGUUGUUUAUCUUUCCUUCAUCUAUUCUGAAACUAAAAUCCUUAACCAAAUUUAUUUCCGAAGUUUAACCCUUUAAUAAACUGGCCUCUGACUCCACCUGGUGGAGAUACAUAAAUCUAUGAAAAUAAACCAAUCCAAAUGAAGAUUUUAAA